GGGCCCAAUAACUGUUAGGUGAGAGACCCAAUGACGGCUUUGCACUUGCUUAUGAACAGUGGGUCUGAUUUAACUAAGGAGUGUAAACAAUAACUAUUAGGUGAGCCUACAUGACUUAGAGACCAAGUCACUGCAAUAUACUUAGAGAAGCAUCUGGGCAAAGAGUUGUCUAUGCAUUGGUGUACAUGUUAUCAAUAACUGUUAGGUGAGGUGCAUGGCAUCGGUGGGACCGUAGCACCUAC
rnacentral:lncRNA from 1 species